UUGACUAUAAUCAAAUUGUUAAGGCUCAAAAGUGAUAUUAGGUUCCUCUUCAUGUUGAAAAUUAGAAUUACUAGACGAUGCAUUCACCAUAUUUUCUUCACCAUGCCAAAACCAAAUAUAAUAAUUUGACAUGAACCCUCUAUUAUAUAAAUGCUUUCGCCCGUUUUGACAGAAAAAUAACGACCAUUUUUGCACUUUCGACAUAGAAAAGACAUAUUACCAGUUUCUUGCGUGAAUGACAGUUGAUUUGCGUUUAUCAUGAAUUCUUCUAGUCCAUCUGCAAACUCUCUUGUCACUGAUCUAUCAACAUAUUUGUGCUUAUACAUCCACUCCCCCCGGAUAUAAAUCUCGUGAGACGCCGACAUAUUAUAUAUAUUUAUUUUGAAGAUAAAAGGAAUAUAAAAUUUGAGAAGAAAAGAUCUGAAAACGAGAUUUGAAGAAGAAUGCUUAAUAUUGAAGAAGAGAGAUUGUGAUGUUCCUUACUCAUCCCAACAUGGCUUUAUAUAGGCAUACAAAUCUAUUUGCGACGAAUUUGCGAUGAAUUUUUGCGACUAUAUUGCGAGGAAUUGUAAACUAGUUAGGUAGCACAUUUUAAAACGUUUCUCACCUAACAUAUAUAUAUUCGUCUCAAAUGCGUUGCACAAUUGCGUCGAAUUUUUACACGCAAAUUCCACGCCAAAUGUGCAUGUACUUUGCGAUGAAGUGGAUUGGAACUGUUGACUUCCACUCACAUUCGUCGCUAAUUAGAUGCUUAUCCGCCUUGAAUUAGCGAGUCAUUAUAUCCAAGAAUAUUUGCGACAAAGUUGAGUUGAAUUACACUAUUCCAUCCUAAUUCGUCGCUAAUUAUACACUUAUUUGCCUCGAAUUAGAGACGAAAAUUUUCCAAGCAAAUUCGCGAUAAUAUUGAGUUGAGUCGUUAAUGCGAUGCUAAUUCCACUCUAAUUACAUGCAAUUUAGCGACACAUUUAUUUCCACGCAAUAUUUUCACGCUACUCACAUGUUUUCUUGUAGUGUAAUCACAUAUGCUCAUAACUGCACCUCACCCCAUAUCUCUCCUUCGAUGGCUUUUAGAGAAAUUGACGUGAUAAAGAUCUUUGUUGGGUCAGAGUUUUCAGUCACAAGGAGCUUUCCAUUACAAUUCAAAAGUUUUGCUCUAUUUCCAAACUUGGGUAGCUUUUGCUUUCCCUUGACACGAGCCCAUACCUUCUCAUGCAUGUACACCUUGAUUUGGUUUCGUUUUUGAUUGAAAGAGUAAAAUCGCUUGUUUAUCACACAUAAACGCUUGAGAAUCCUGUGGUUUACAACCUCCAAUCACAAAAAGUAUGUAUUUGAUGAGAUCGGUCUCAUGACAUGAGUGGAAGGAAAGUUGGGUGUCGGACGCAAGACGUACUCAUCGAUGUAGGCUUUUUUUGCAUACCGAUUUUUGAAUUUUGGUAGCCUAAAACAUACUUAAAUAAU
rnacentral:sRNA from 1 species